GGGCAUGGCAUGGAAGCCAGAAAAGGAACAUCACUCUGUGGUGACAGGAAAUCUUCACAGCAGUGACUGCUUACAGCACUUAUGGCAACUGUCAGUCUGUGUAAAAAAAAGGUACUCUAAUAGAAUAGAAGAUUACCUUGGAAGGAAGAGGCUGGUAGCCUGGAGACCAGGUAAGAGGCUGCUAAUACACUCAAGUUAAAAAAAAGAGAGAGAGAGAAAGAGAGGGAGAGAGAAGGGUAGAGAGAGAGAAAAGCAAUGACCUAGAUUAGGGCCUUGCAACUUUUAAUUCCUUUCACCAUGGGAGCUGCCCAUCUUGGGUUAUAUGCAGGUGGAGCAGCAGCAUCAAAGAAUAAACUGAGCCACAACUAGCAGAGGAAAGUCUGGCCUGACAUGUUGGCAGGCUCAUCAUAAUUAUGUGAAAUUAAAGUUCUGAAUACACAAAUCCACAGGAUUGUAUGUAGCAAUCAGCAUUAUUGACUCUGCCUGCCCAGAAAGGUAUGUUUCUCAAGGCCAGAAGGAAGGGAAAUCUCUCAAGUUGUCUUCAUGUCCUUGAUCCAGUAGCCUGCUUUCUUGAUCCAGUAGCCUGCUUUAUCAAUUUUUCCCUGGGUCCUGAUACAGAAGUAAUAACAGGGUCUUUAGGUAGAUUCACUUUAACUUAGAAGAAGCCAUGGAAGCACAUUCAACCAUAUCUGGAGCUGGGCCAGCCUCUCCA
rnacentral:lncRNA from 10 species